GCGCUCUCUUUGUGUUACUGCAAAUCAGCUGUGUGCGACGUACAAUUAAUUUGCCAAAAUAGCUUUUCGUAGUUAAUUUUCCAUUUUAUAUUCAUAUAUUUAAAAGAUGACUACGCUGCGACCAUUCACUUGUGAUGACCUAUUCAAAUUCAAUAACGUCAAUUUUGACCCAUUGACUGAGACGUAUGGGCUUUCGUUUUACACACAGUAUUUGGCAAGAUGGCCAGAGUACUUUCAAGUGGCCGAAUCACCGAGUGGUCAAAUAAUGGGCUACAUUAUGGGUAAGGCAGAAGGCCACAUGGAAAAUUGGCAUGGUCAUGUUACCGCGUUGACCGUUUCUCCUGAUUAUAGACGUUUAGGUUUGGCAGCAUUGCUUAUGAAUUUCCUAGAGGAUAUUUCGGAGAAAAAACGUGCCUAUUUCGUUGAUCUAUUCGUACGCAAAAGCAAUAAGGUAGCCAUCAAUAUGUAUCAAAAUCUAGGCUAUAUAAUUUAUCGCACUAUACUUGAUUACUACGCUGGCGAACACGACGAAGAUGCCUAUGACAUGCGAAAGGCCUUAUCUAGAGACAUGGAAAAGAAAUCUAUUAUACCCUAUACACAUCCGGAAUGUAACUAAUUCUUAAGAAAAAACUAUUUCUACAUGUAAAGUUAGUACACCGAUAAAACCAAAAACAUGAGCUCCGCUGUUUUGUUUACUACUUCCCAGAGUAAAUAAUACACCACACCACAACAUAUUAAUCAAAUGAUGAGAUAACAACACAUCAACUACAUCUAGCGAAUGCAAAUCAAACACCCACGAUUAUGGACUAGCUUUACUUGUGGACUUGAUAUAUUCCAAAGAAGAAAUUUUAAUAUAUUCUUGCUAUAAAAAUGUUGGUCUACGGUAUAAUGUUUUGCAGGUCUCUAAGUUUAAAAACGGCACAUAUUCAUAGUCCAACUCCAUAUAAAUAAUAAAUUAUUUUGUACAUUUUACGCAAGUUGGCUAAAAAGUUCAACACACUUUAUGUUAGCGAAAAAAGCUAUACAGAGCAUGUGCUGCCAAAAAUUACCCAGUGGUAACAUUCUUAGGUGAGUUUCUUAACACUACCACCUACGCGCACAUUCCUUUUUUAUUUAAAAAUCAUUUUUGUAUCCUCGGGGGGGAAAAACCAACUUAUAUCAAUAAUUGGCAAUAAAAAAUAAAUUAAAAGAAGUUGAGCAAAACGAGUGCCUACGGAAUAGUAAAAGAUAAAGUAUAGUCUGAUGGAGCUGCGUGUCCAAUAGUGUUGGCGAAUUUGGUGCACAUUUUGUUAAUAUAUUUUGUCAACUAUUAUAAAAUUUAACGUUAAAAACAGUGGAGAGCUGUCGCAAGUGUUGGAAGUCGUAAAGGGAUCGUUUUGUAAUUGUAUUGAGCAUAAAAAAUAGAUCGAUUGGAAAUACAAAGGAGUGGUUAUUUUCCCUCACCACCAGUAUAAGUCCAAAAGGGUGAGAUAACUUGUCCUGUGCAUACUUUUUAAAGUUUUUCUGAAUGGUUGUUGAAUUUUCAACUCCAAACUUGCUCUCGCACCCGCACGCAACAAGUUCAGUAAAAACUGAAUUAUCCAGUUGAAAGCAAGAGCAAACAUAUGGCAGCUAUGAAUUUUUCUGCAACCAUGGAUCCCAUCGUCAUUUCAAGCUGGACACAAUAGAAAACACAAUUUGCACACUAAUAGAGAACUAUUAGAAACUUAUAAACUCCCAUAGGCAGUCCGCUGAUCCAUUUCUAGAUGUAAUACAAGAAUUCUUUGAGAAAGUACCACCACUCAAGCAGUUGGUAUACAAAAGGGAUUAGUGAACUAAGUAUACUUACAAAAUGUGUGUGGAAAUUGAUGUCUAAACAAUAAAAAUAUGUUAAAUUAUUUGGGCUCUCUCGAAUUUAAGAGAGAACGAAUCAAA